rnacentral:lncRNA from 1 species
GCAGGAGCAGCCGGUGGAGGAUCACCUUUGUGGAAGAUGCUCUUCCUUUGAUCUUGGCCUUGAAGACAGCAAUCGUUUUUACCUUCUGGAAAGCAUGUCCAGAGGCUGGCCCACUGAGUAAAGACUGUUGGAACCAUAAAUUUAUCCUGAGGAAUCUAAGAGAAAAGUCAGCAACAGAGGAAAAC